GCAGAAUAUUCUAUUCACCAGUUGAACAGUAGCUUAGGAACUAAACAACAAAACAGUAAACAAAAGGUGGCAACAAUGCCGAGUAACAGAAGCUACAUUAUUGAGAACAAGUAAUGGCUUCAAAUUCCAACCAUGCUUCCUGUAUUUUGGUUUGGAUAAAAAGAAAUCAUUGACAGCAGAAAAAACACCUCGAGGUCAGACUACACUCAGUGAUGAGCUUUUGCCUCGGCUUUCUUUUGAGAUUUCGCCUUAGCCUUGAGGUAGGAGAGCUUGAUGCUGCCGUAGACGACGCCAUACGAGAACGCCGCGGUGCGGGCGACGAGGGCGAGGGUGCUGGAUCCGGAGUAGGGCCCUGGAAUCGCCAUG
rnacentral:misc_RNA from 1 species